rnacentral:rRNA from 1 species
GACAGAGUCGCCGCGGGAAUACGGAGGGGGCUAGCGUUGUUCGGAAUUACUGGGCGUAAAGCGUGCGUAGGUGGUGGUUUAAGUCCGUUGUGAAAGCCCUGGGCUCAACCCGGGAAUUGCAGUGGAUACUGGGUCACUAGAGUGUGGUAGAGGAUAGUGGAAUUUCCGGUGUAGCAGUGAAAUGCGCAGAGAUCGGCAGGAACAUCUGUGGCGAAGGCGACUAUCUGGGCCAACACUGACACUGAGGCACGAAAGCGUGGGGAGCAAACAGGAUUAGAUACCCCCGUAGUCCCUGUCUCUUAUACA